UACGUAGGGGGCAAGCGUUAUCCGGAUUUACUGGGUGUAAAGGGAGCGCAGACGGCAGUGCAAGUCUGGAGUGAAAGCCCGGGGCCCAACCCCGGGACUGCUCUGGAAACUGUACGGCUGGAGUACGGGAGGGGCAGGCGGAAUUCCUAGUGUAGCGGUGAAAUGCGUAGAUAUUAGGAGGAACACCGGCGGCGAAGGCGGCCUGCUGGACCGAAACUGACGUUGAGGCUCGAAAGCGUGGGGAGCAAGCAGG
rnacentral:rRNA from 1 species